UGCAAUUGCAAUAAAUUCACAUUGGCAGCCUAUAAAUACUCAAUGCAGCGUAGAAAUAUUCACAGUCUGCAUCAUCUAUUUGCGUGUUGAACUUAUUAGUUUUUGAAAAUGCGGCAUAUACUAUUUCUUGUUUAUUUCGUAGUUGCUUGGCAAAGUAUUCUGGCAAAUGUAGUGCCCCAUCCUGAUGAUGAGGAGGAGAAACUACUUUUCUAUUCACUCGACUCUGAAACUGCUGAAAAUAAUUUAAGCUUGAAACUCAAUAGUUUGGAGAAACAAGUUGAGGAAUUGAGCAACCAACUAAAGCACCUUUCUUCUCAAUAUGACAAUCUGAUUGAGAGACUUUCCCUAGUAGAAAGUGAAAAAACUAAAGAAAGAAACCAAGUUCCAGAUAAAUUUAAUGUUGAAUUGGAUCAAAAUGAUGAUGAUUUACCAGUAGAAGUGGAAAAUGCAAUGCACUUUAAGACAAUUGGAUUAAAGUUUUACUAUAUUGAAGAAAACGAAAAACUUGACUGGAGCCAAGCGAAAGAUAAAUGUAUUCAGAUGAACGGCCACCUUGUUGUACUUCAAAAUGAGGAAAUGUGGAAUGCCUUAAGAGUGUACUUGGAUCCCUUAGAAAGCUAUUGGAUAGAACCCUUUGAGUCGUAUUACUCCGAGCCGCAUAAUCUUGCAACAACGUUGGAUGAUGAGUUCUGUAUCGAACUGGGAUCAGAACUGGGACUCAUUAGCUGCUACGAAAAAAAAUAUUUUAUAUGCGAAGUUUAAGUAGCUUAUUCUUUGUAAUUUGAGAAACGUAAUAAAAGUCUUUUAUUAUGAUGUUUUAUUAA